rnacentral:rRNA from 1 species
GGGUGAACGUGUCGGAUAUUGGGCGUAAAGGGCUCGCAGGCGGUUUCUUAAGUCUGAUGUGAAAGCCCCCGGCUCAACCGGGGAGGGUCAUUGGAAACUGGGGAACUUGAGUGCAGAAGAGGAGAGUGGAAUUCCACGUGUAGCGGUGAAAUGCGUAGAGAUGUGGAGGAACACCAGUGGCGAAGGCGACUCUCUGGUCUGUAACUGACGCUGAGGAGCGAAAGCGUGGGGAGCGAACAGGAUUAGAUACCCUGGUAGUCCACGCCGUAAACGAUGAGUGCUAAGUGUUAGGGGGUUUCCGCCCCUUAGUGCUGCAGCUAACGCAUUAAGCACUCCGCCUGGGGAGUACGGUCGCAAGACUGAAACUCAAAGGAAUUGACGGGGGCCCGCACAAGCGGUGGAGCAUGUGGUUUAAUUCGAAGCAACGCGAAGAACCUUACCAGGUCUUGACAUCCUCUGACAAUCCUAGAGAUAGGACGUCCCCUUCGGGGGCAGAGUGACAGGUGGUGCAUGGUUGUCGUCAGCUCGUGUCGUGAGAUGUUGGGUUAAGUCCCGCAACGAGCGCAACCCUUGAUCUUAGUUGCCAGCAUUCAGUUGGGCACUCUAAGGUGACUGCCGGUGACAAACCGGAGGAAGGUGGGGAUGACGUCAAAUCAUCAUGCCCCUUAUGACCUGGGCUACACACGUGCUACAAUGGACAGAACAAAGGGCAGCGAAACCGCGAGGUUAAGCCAAUCCCACAAAUCUGUUCUCAGUUCGGAUCGCAGUCUGCAACUCGACUGCGUGAAGCUGGAAUCGCUAGUAAUCGCGGAUCACAUGCCGCGGGGGGAAAUCCGUUCCCGGGGCCUUGUACACACCGCCCGUCACACCACGAAGAGUUUGUAACACCCGAAGUCCGGUGAGGUAACCUUUUAGGAGCCAGCCGCCGAAGGUGGGACAGAUGAUUGGGGUGAUAGAAAAAAGACCCGCGAGAAAAACAACAAAAAAAUUAAAACUAAACACAGGGU